rnacentral:lncRNA from 1 species
CCCUGAUGUGGUUAGCUGGCCAUAUAAUCCUGCUGUGCCUGAAUACUACUUUCUUACUAUGACCUUUGGAAAAUUGCAAUCAGGACUGUCACUUGCUGAGAACAGGAGAAGUGCUGAUGAAUUGCUACAGGACUUAAGGUCAAACAGUUUCUUCAAAAAUGUAAAGAAAGGAAAUACGAGAAACUAUAAGUCAAUUAAUUAUUAAUUGAUAGAUAACUGUGAGAAAAAAAAAAAGAACCUGAAUAUUUUGCAUUAGUCAGUAGGAAAUAUUGUACAAAACUGCUGUCAUUUUUUAUCAACAACUCUGCUUGGUGAUGGGAACACAGUGGCAACUUCCCCUGUAUGUAAAAGAGCAAUAAGCACCAAGUGCCAAAUCCCACAGUGUUUUAACAAGAUGUAGAAGUCUUCCAGAAACUGCACAGAACCUCUUCAGAGACAAGAGAUCGAACACGCAGGGACAGCAAGAGGCUAUACUGAAUUGAGGACUGGAUGUCAGAGGUGGAGAUGGCUGGAAACAUGAGACAUGGCAACAGAACCUCUUCCACCGGUAGACUGGUAGGAACAGGCUCAGUUCUGUGGGAGAUGACAGGAAGAAGAGUCUCCAUCACAGGAGUCUUCAGGUUUUAUCAAACAUGAACCAAGCAUGCACACUAAGAGGAAGAGACAGGUGAGAGAGAUUAAAGCACGGUUAUCUGCCAUUCAGAUGUGCAAUCACAGGAGACUUGUUUCUUCAUGGGUAUCCAUAUCCGUUAUUUUGUGAAGAGACUGACAGUUUAUCCAACACUCAGCCAACAAGCCCGCCUUGCCAGUUAUCCAUGUGGACAGCAAUAAUAGUUCCAGGAGAGGCCCUGAGACCCCAAGAACAUAAAGAGUAAUUUAUUGGUCGCUGCACCUAGGUUGUGAGGGAAAAGCUUGCAAGUCAAGUUGAUGUUCUACCUGAAAGAAGCUGUGUGUCUCUUGCAUGUACAACUGAAGAGAUGUUCUUAUAAGCAGAAGUCUAUGCUAAAGGCCACGUCAUGUCCUCUUCCUGGGCUCUCCCAUGCAAAGCCAGACAAAUCUCAUGGUACAAUGCAGUGUAUUUCUUGUUUUUCACAGUCAAGGAAUGUGACUUUGCUAUCAGUGCUGCCACAGACAGAAUGUACACAAGCCCUGGGAACAUCUCAGAGAACAGAAUUUAUCAAGGGAACAUAGGAGUCAUAACAACUCCCAGAGGAGCACCAGUCAACAUUAAAGUGCUCAUGUUGUGACUGGCUGGUGCUGAUGAUGGUGUUUAAGCUUUUGCUUUUCUGUUCAAAGUGCGGA